AGCCUCUUAAUGGGGUGACUGCGUACCUUUUGUAUAAUGGGUCAGCGACUUAUAUUCUGUAGCAAGGUUAACCGAAUAGGGGAGCCGAAGGGAAACCGAGUCUUAACUGGGCGUUAAGUUGCAGGGUAUAGACCCGAAACCCGGUGAUCUAGCCAUGGGCAGGUUGAAGGUUGGGUAACACUAACUGGAGGACCGAACCGACUAAUGUUGAAAAAUUAGCGGAUGACUUGUGGCUGGGGGUGAAAGGCCAAUCAAACCGGGAGAUAGCUGGUUCUCCCCGAAAGCUAUUUAGGUAGCGCCUCGUGAAUUCAUCUCCGGGGGUAGAGCACUGUUUCGGCAAGGGGGUCAUCCCGACUUACCAACCCGAUGCAAACUGCGAAUACCGGAGAAUGUUAUCACGGGAGACACACGGCGGGUGCUAACGUCCGUCGUGAAGAGGGAAACAACCCAGACCGCCAGCUAAGGUCCCAAAGUCAUGGUUAAGUGGGAAACGAUGUGGGAAGGCCCAGACAGCCAGGAUGUUGGCUUAGAAGCAGCCAUCAUUUAAAGAAAGCGUAAUAGCUCACUGGUCGAGUCGGCCUGCGCGGAAGAUGUAACGGGGCUAAACCAUGCACCGAAGCUGCGGCAGCGACACUAUGUGUUGUUGGGUAGGGGAGCG
rnacentral:rRNA from 1 species